rnacentral:rRNA from 1 species
GCGAUGUUUGAUCCUGGCUCAGAAUCAACGCUGGCGGCGUGCCUAACACAUGCAAGUCGAGCGAGGCCCCUCCUUCGGGAGGGUGUCCUAGCGGCGAACGGGUGAGUAACACGUGGGCAACCUGCCCCUGGCACUGGAAUAACCCCGGGAAACCGGGGCUAAUACCGGAUACGACCUCAGAGGGCAUCCUCCGAGGUGGAAAAGGUUACUGGCUAGGGAUGGGCCCGCGGCCUAUCAGCUUGUUGGUGGGGUAGUGGCCUACCAAGGCGACGACGGGUAGCCGGCCUGAGAGGGUGACCGGCCACACUGGGACUGAGACACGGCCCAGACUCCUACGGGAGGCAGCAGUGGGGAAUAUUGGACAAUGGGCGCAAGCCUGAUCCAGCCAUGCCGCGUGGAUGAUGAAGGCCCUAGGGUUGUAAAGUCCUUUUAACGGGGAAGAUAAUGACGGUACCCGUAGAAUAAGCCCCGGCUAACUUCGUGCCAGCAGCCGCGGUAAUAGCUG